rnacentral:tRNA from 1 species
GCAGUGGUGGUUCAGUGGUAGAAUUCUCACUUUCCAAGUGUGAGACCAGGGCUCGAUUUCUGGCCAGUACA